GAUGAACGCUGGCGGCGUGCUUAACACAUGCAAGUCGAACGGGAUCCAAGGGGUGCUUGCACUUUUUGGUGAGAGUGGCGAACGGGUGAGUAACACGUGAGUAACCUGUCCUUUUCUUUGGGAUAAGCAUUCGAAAGGGUGUUUAAUACCUUAUGUUCUGUCUGCCUCGCAUGGGGUGGGUGGGAAAGGCUUUGGCCGGAUUUGGGUGGGCUCGCGGUCUAUCAGCUUGUUGGUGGGGUGAUGGCUUACCAAGGCUUUGACGGGUAGCCGGCCUGAGAGGGUGGUCGGUCACAUUGGGACUGAGAUGCGGCCCAGACUCCUGCGGGAGGCAGCAGUGGGCGAUAUUGCACAAUGGGCGAAAGCCUGAUGCAGCGACGCCGCGUGGGGGAUGAAGGCCUUCGGGUUGUAAACUUCUUUUGCUCUGAACAAGGCAUGCCAGUGGGUGUGUUGAGUGUAGGGGUUGAUUAGCGCCGGCUAACUACGUG
rnacentral:rRNA from 1 species